rnacentral:rRNA from 1 species
AGUGAACGCUGGCGGUAGGCCUAACACAUGCAAGUCGAACGGCAGCACAGUAUGAGCUUGCUCUUACGGGUGGCGAGUGGCGGACGGGUGAGGAAUACAUCGGAAUCUACUUUUUCGUGGGGGAUAAUGUAGGGAAACUUACGCUAAUACCGCAUACGACCUACGGGUGAAAGCAGGGGAUCUUCGGACCUUGCGCGAUUGAAUGAGCCGAUGUCGGAUUAGCUAGUUGGCGGGGUAAAGGCCCACCAAGGCGACGAUCCGUAGCUGGUCUGAGAGGAUGAUCAGCCACACUGGAACUGAGACACGGUCCAGACUCCUACGGGAGGCAGCAGUGGGGAAUAUUGGACAAUGGGCGCAAGCCUGAUCCAGCCAUACCGCGUGGGUGAAGAAGGCCUUCGGGUUGUAAAGCCCUUUUGUUGGGAAAGAAAAGCAGCAGGUUAAUACCCCGCUGUUCUGACGGUACCCAAAGAAUAAGCACCGGCUAACUUCGU